rnacentral:lncRNA from 1 species
GGCAACCAUCAGUCUGUGCCCCUUCUAUAUACAUUAUAUUGAUAAUUGACAUGCACAGAGUGACCUGACGCAAUGUGAAAAGCAUUCUCUGUUUUUGAUGCAUAAAGUAGAUUGGAGGAGGCAAGGACAAAUAUAAGAAUAUCAGCCAAGGGAAGAAAUGAUAGUCAAAGGGUGAACAUUGCUGAGUGAGCAAGCUGGAAGCCAUGGACAGGGCAUGGGCUGUUUGUGGAUUUGCUAUUUUGGAGGAGAACAGCUUCUGGUGAAGACAAAAUCCUAGGAUGACAUGGUAAGAAGGCCCUCAUCAGAUGUCAGCCCCUCAGUCUUGGACU